UACGAAGGGGGGCUAGCGUUGCUCGGAAUCACUGGGCGUAAAGCGCACGUAGGCGGCUUCUUAAGUCAGGGGGUGAAAUCCUGGAGCUCAACUCCAGAACUGCCUUUGAUACUGAGGAUCUUGAGUUCGGGAGAGGUGAGUGGAACUGCGAGUGUAGAGGUGAAAUUCGUAGAUAUUCGCAAGAACACCAGUGGCGAAGGCGGCUCACUGGCCCGAUACUGACGCUGAGGCACGAAAGCGUGAGGAGCAAACAGG
rnacentral:rRNA from 1 species